CCUCAACGACAGGGGAGCGCCACCGCGGCGCUGAGAGUGCGCGCGAGCGCAGACCCUCGAACCUGAUCCGGUUCAUACCGGCGCUAGGGAGUCGAGCAUCUCAGGAG
rfam:Kocuria rhizophila DC2201 DNA, complete genome.